rnacentral:rRNA from 1 species
CCCGCCGGCGACCGGCGCACGGGUGAGUAACACGUAUGCAACCUGGCCGCCACAGGGGGAUAACCCGCGGAAACGCGGCCUAAUACCCCGUGACGCCACCGGAGGGCAUCCUCCGGUGGCCAAAGGAGCGGUCCGGUGGCGGAUGGGCAUGCGGCGCAUUAGCUAGACGGCGGGGUGACGGCCCACCGUGGCGACGAUGCGUAGGGGUUCUGAGAGGAAGGCCCCCCACACUGGGACUGAGACACGGCCCAGACUCCUACGGGAGGCAGCAG